rnacentral:rRNA from 1 species
AGUCGAGGGGUACAGGGAGUGCUUGCACUCUGCUGACGACCGGCGCACGGGUGCGUAACGCGUAUGCAACCUACCUUCUACAGGGGGAUAGUCCAGAGAAAUUUGGCAUAAUACCCCAUACGAUCAUUUAUUGGCAUCGAUAGAUGAGGAAAACUCCGGUGGUAGAAGAUGGGCAUGCGUCCUAUUAGUUAGUUGGUAAGGUAACGGCUUACCAAGACAUCGAUAGGUAGGGGUCCUGAGAGGGAGAUCCCCCACACUGGUACUGAGACACGGACCAGACUCCUACGGGAGGCAGCAGUGAGGAAUAUUGGACAAUGGAGGCAACUCUGAUCCAGCCAUGCCGCGUGCAGGAAGACGGCCCUAUGGGUUGUAAACUGCUUUUAUACAGGAAGAAACGCCGCUACGUGUAGCGGUUUGACGGUACUGUACGAAUAAGGAUCGGCUAACUCCGUGCCAGCAGCCGCGGUAAUACGGAGGAUCCAAGCGUUAUCCGGAAUCAUUGGGUUUAAAGGGUCCGUAGGCGGUUUUUUAAGUCAGAGGUGAAAUCCUGCAGCUCAACUGUAGCAUUGCCUUUGAUACUGAAAGACUUGAGUUAUUGUGAAGUAGUUAGAAUGUGUAGUGUAGCGGUGAAAUGCAUAGAUAUUACACAGAAUACCGAUUGCGAAAGCAGAUUACUAACAAUAUACUGACGCUGAGGGACGAAAGCGUGGGUAGCGAACAGGAUUAGAUACCCUGGUAGUCCACGCCGUANACGAUGGAUACUAGCUGUUCGACCAACAUUGGUUGGUUGAGUGGCUAAGCGAAAGUGAUAAGUAUCCCACCUGGGGAGUA